GCAUGUGUGAUGUGAACAAAAGAGUAUGAGAAGCUGUGAUACUGUAAACGCUUUCUGAUGUG
rnacentral:snoRNA from 1 species